rnacentral:tRNA from 1 species
GAGGAUGUAUCUCAGUUGGUAGAAUGCUUGCCUAGCAAGCACGAAGUCCUGGGUUUGAUCUCCAGUACCCCA